rnacentral:rRNA from 1 species
CGGUACAUCGGUGACAGGUGGUGCAUGGUUGUCGUCAGCUCGUGUCGUGAGAUGUGGUUAAGUCCCGCAACGAGCGCAACCCCUAUUGUUAGUUGCCAUCAUUCAGUUGGGCACUCUAGCGAGACUGCCGGUAAUAAACCGGAGGAAGGUGGGGAUGACGUCAAAUCAUCAUGCCCCUUAUGACCUGGGCUACACACGUGCUACAAUGGUUGGUACAACGAGUUGCGAGUCGGUGACGGCGAGCUAAUCUCUUAAAGCCAAUCUCAGUUCGGAUUGUAGGCUGCAACUCGCCUACAUGAAGUCGGAAUCGCUAGUAAUCGCGGAUCAGCACGCCGCGGUGAAUACGUUCCCGGGCCUU